rnacentral:rRNA from 1 species
UUGACAUCCAGCGAACUUUCCAGAGAUGGAUUGGUGCCUUCGGGAACGCUGAGACAGGUGCUGCAUGGCUGUCGUCAGCUCGUGUUGUGAAAUGUUGGGUUAAGUCCCGNAACGAGCGCAACCCUUUAUCCUUUGUUGCCAGCGAUUCGGUCGGGAACUCAAAGGAGACUGCCGGUGAUAAACCGGAGGAAGGUGGGGAUGACGUCAAGUCAUCAUGGCCCUUACGAGUAGGGCUACACACGUGCUACAAUGGCGCAUACAAAGAGAAGCGACCUCGCGAGAGCAAGCGGACCUCAUAAAAGUGCGUCGUAGUCCGGAUCGGAGUCUGCAACUCGACUCCGUGAAGUCGGAAUCGCUAGUAAUCGUGGAUCAGAAUGCCACGGUGAAUACGUUCCCGGGCCUUGUACACACCGCCCGUCACACCAUGGGAGUGGGUUGCAAAAGAAGUAGGUAGCUUAACCUUCGGGAGGGCGCUUACCACUUUGUGAUUCAUGACUGGGGUGAAGUCGUAACAAGGUAAGCGUAGCGAG